UGCAAAAUUAAUGACCAACCUAGAUUUGGUUGCAAAACAGUCACAUAUUUUGUGACCGCCUUGUUUCGGUCACAUAUAUCAUUGAAAUAACUAAUAAAAAUUAAAUUAUAAGAUUGUAAAAGUUGUGACCGUUUAAAGCGUUCGCAAUUCUAUCGCAAGUUGCGACUGCAUGUCAGACGCAACUUCGGUCACAAAAUUGCAUUAGCGAUGGAGGUGUAUUGCGACUGCCUUGUCGGUCACAAAUUUUUCGCAAAAGGCAUUUUGCAACCGAUAGCCAAUCCCAGUGAACAGUGAAGCUUCAUACGGUCUUUCUGCCCAAAUGCAUGUAGUCCGCAUCUUUACAGAUAUGUCUAUUUCACCAAGCGACCGGAAAGAUUGUGGCAUGUAGUCUGUUAUAUCUCGUGCAUCAAAACCCAUAAUGUAUAUGCAUUAUUGUUACUUGUUUGACAUACAAUGUACUAUAAAAAAUUAAAAUGGAGACUAGGCCGCCAUACAAUGUACAUUAGCCACCAAGUCCUUAGAAUAAAGAGUUACAUUGGACACUUAGUACUUGUAACAUGACCUAAAACAUUGCCCUAUGUUGACCUACAAAUCAUAAGAGUGUAACUAAAUCAAGACAUAAUUAUAUACAUGUUUGUGCGUCAAAACACAUGUAUAAACUUGUGUGUCAAAGUAAAUUACAAUAGUACAUCUAACUCGUGCAUGAAUGCACAUUACAACAAUUCAUCCAGUGAUUUUCUACCUCUCUCAUACAUUCUCUCAUAUCUCUCUCAUAUGUUCCUCUCUCCUCCACAUACGAUAUCUAUCUCUUUUAUACAUUAAAAUUUUGAAAACAACAUUAUAUCAAGAUCUCUACAAAAUUGAAAAUCAAUCAGAAUAAGAAUAUGUAACCUUGACAUGAAGACAAAGGUGAAAAAAAGUCACAAAUGAGGUUACCCCUCCUUCACUAAAAGCCUCAUUCUGUAACGCCCCAAAAAUUCGAAUGUUUAUAUUCAUCAUAUGUUCCUAUAUGAUAUAUCAUGAAAUAAAUAACUAGGCUAUGUAACCUAGUUAAUUGUAUGGCAAAAACUAUUAAAGAAGGAAAGUUGUGCCAAUUAUGUUUUAGUAUCAAACAAGAGGGACUAAAGGUGAAGAUUUUGGGGUGGAGUUCUAAUUAAAAAGAAAACAAAAUACAGAAUUUUGUGUGUGUAUGUGUGUGUUACGUGAUAUGGAGAAAAAGAGGGAAGAACACCCUCUAAAACCUAACCAUAAAUUUAGCAAAUUAAUGGAGCAACUGAUGGUUGAUCUAGUACAUGAACAUCAAUCUUUAAUCACCUCUACUUGCUAAGCAUAAGGAUGGAAAUCUUAUCAAUUGACUCAAGCAUGGAUGGCUUUUGGGUCAAGAGGAAGCAAGGAGGCAAGCAUGAACAUGGAUGCUAAAGGUUAGUCAGAUAUUCAUGAUGGACAAGUGAACGAAGGUCGAGUUGAAGAUCAUGGAUUGUACCGGAAAGCGGUCACAUUAUUUUUAACUAUUUGUUAACAUAGUUACAUUAAAUAAAUGAUUAAUGAUGUAUUUAUGUUAAAAGGGUUGACCUAAACAGUAUUCAAGUGUGUCAGAGCAGUUAAAAGAAAGAAAUUUUACAGUUCA